GUCUAUGGCUAUGCCACCCUGAACGUGCCCGAUUUCGUGCCCGAUUCUCAGAAGCUAAGCAGGCCAGGCCUAGUUAGUACUUGGAUGGGAGACCACCUAGGAAUACCAGCUACUGUAGGCA
rnacentral:rRNA from 1 species